rnacentral:rRNA from 1 species
GACGGAGGGUGCAAGCGUUAUCCGGAUUUAUUGGGUUUAAAGGGUGCGUAGGCGGCUUUUUAAGUCAGUGGUGAAAGCUCCAUGCUUAACAUGGAAAUUGCCAUUGAUACUGAAGAGCUUGAGUACACUUGAAGUGGGCGGAAUAUGUCAUGUAGAGGUGAAAUUCUUAGAGAUGACAUAGAACACCGAUUGCGAAGGCAGCUCACUAAAUUGUAACUGACGCUGAGGCACGAAAGCGUGGGGAUCAAACAGG